ACACAUCCCAAGUCGCAACGAACCCUUCGGGGUUAGUGGCGCACGGGUGCGUAACGCGUGGGAACCUGCCUUUAGGUUCGGAAUAACUCAGAGAAAUUUGAGCUAAUACCGGAUAAUGUCUUCGGACCAAAGAUUUAUCGCCUUUAGAUGGGCCCGCGUUAGAUUAGAUAGUUGGUGGGGUAAUGGCCUACCAAGUCGACGAUCUAUAGCUGGUCUGAGAGGAUGAUCAGCCACACUGGGACUGAGACACGGCCCAGACUCCUACGGGAGGCAGCAGUGGGGAAUAUUGGACAAUGGGCGAAAGCCUGAUCCAGCAAUGCCGCGUGAGUGAUGAAGGCCUUAGGGUUGUAAAGCUCUUUUACCAGGGAUGAUAAUGACAGUACCUGGAGAAUAAGCUCCGGCUAACUCCGUGCCAGCAGCCGCGGUAAUACGGAGGGAGCUAGCGUUGUUCGGAAUUACUGGGCGUAAAGCGCGCGUAGGCGGCUUUUCAAGUCAGGGGUGAAAUCCCGGGGCUCAACCCCGGAACUGCCC
rnacentral:rRNA from 1 species